AGCGAACGCUGGCGGCAGGCUUAACACAUGCAAGUCGAGCGGGCCCUUCGGGGUCAGCGGCAGACGGGUGAGUAACACGUGGGAACGUACCCUUCGGUUCGGAAUAACUCAGGGAAACUUGAGCUAAUACCGGAUACGCCCUUUGGGGGAAAGGUUUACUGCCGAAGGAUCGGCCCGCGUCUGAUUAGCUAGUUGGUGGGGUAAUGGCCCACCAAGGCGACGAUCAGUAGCUGGUCUGAGAGGANGAUCAGCCACACUGGGACUGAGACACGGCCCAGACUCCUACGGGAGGCAGCAGUGGGGAAUAUUGGACAAUGGGCGCAAGCCUGAUCCAGCCAUGCCGCGUGAGUGAUGAAGGCCUUAGGGUUGUAAAGCUCUUUCGACGGGGACGAUAAUGACGGUACCCGUAGAAGAAGCCCCGGCUAACUUCGU
rnacentral:rRNA from 1 species